ACAUGUACAAUGUAUUAAAAUAUAUUUACUAUAAUAUAUAUACUAUAAUAACCGCAUGUCUGUCAUCUAGUAUAUUAAAUUGCGUUUGGCAGUGAAGUCUAGAUUAUUAUAAGGUAUAACAUUCGAAGAAAUCUCUAUUUGAUGUGUUCAAGCCAUGAUAUUCUCCAAAUCAUUAUCAUUUGUUUGUAAAAAAAGAUUCAAAUUACUUGUUAUAUUAUCUUCUCUUGAAGGAAUAUGUCAGUGUUUUUUUUCUCCAAUGUCUAUAAAAUUAUGUUGUAUGUUGAGUGAGAUUUUGUUGUAUGUGUACACUUGUUUAAAUCAUUUUCAGUGCCAUUCUUUUAUUUAUCCUAACAUCAUUUUAUGGAUGGAAAAUUUUAUUUUUGUUUAUUGGUAUUACUUAAGUAUGACUAAUUGUUAAUUCAGUAUUGUGUGUUUUCAUGUAAAAUGACAUUGAAAGUGUAAUAUAUUAUAUGUUAAAACAAUUCUUCAGAUUUAUGUUAAUUUUCAUGAAAUUGUUGAAAUGUUUUAAUUGCAUAUAACAUGUAAGUUAUUAUGUGAAUUGUGAAUAUUUUUAAAAUCUUAUUUCCUAUUUCACAAGAUUGAUUUUCUUGAAAUAUUUUGGGCUAAUCUAGAGGCAUGCAGCUUUAACAUGUGUACCUGAUUAACUUUAACCCUUAGUAUAUAUUCAAAGUAUUAUAGAAAUAUGUUGAAUUGCUAACAUAUUAACCAUCUUUGACUGACUCAUACAUUUUGUUUUCUAACAGAAAUUAUGUUAUCAUUCUGUUGUUGAAGGGAAAUUAUUUACCAUGGUGUUAGUUGUUUGUAAUAGGUAGAGGUAUAUCAAUCAAUAGAAUUAUAGUUCACUGUGUGUAUACUUGGUUAUAGUGGUACCAUCAGAAGAAUUAUAGUUCACCAUGUGUAUACUUGGUUAUAGUUGUACCAUCAGAGGAAUUAGUCAUUUAAUCAACAGGAGUUAAAUAUUUAAAAUGAUAAAAAAUAAAAUUGUCCCUUUUAGGUUUGUCACACAAACGAGUAAACUUUGUCAAAGUUAUAAGUAAAGAAUGUUUUAGAUUAUAAAAAUGGCAUAGAAAUUGAUACAUAAAUACAUGUUUAUAUACUGUUUUUGGCUUAAUGCCUAGUUAUUUAAAAAGAAAUCUUGUUGUCACUUUUUAUGUGAGAUGAACUUCAUAAAGAAUACUGGGGAUUUCCUUUUCAAUCUUUGACUGGUAUUAGCACCACUAUUCUUCAGGUUUUCUGUAAAACUUUUUUGACAUCUUAUCUCAUCAACCACAAAUGAUGGUUUUUGCUUUAAACACAUGUCUUUAAAAUAUUAAUUUGUAGACAAUAUCCAAGGUCCAUAACUCUUGCAUGGAUUUUAACAGAAUGUGUGACAACUGACUUUGGACCUACUAUUGUAACCUUAUACAACGAUUCUCAAAUGAGUGAUCUAGAUCUUCUUGUCGAAAUAUUCUUUUCAAUUAAUUGUUACAUGAAAGAUUAGCUGAAAAAGUAUGUCCUUUUCUUAUAAUGGACUUCGGUUAACAUUUAUUGAUUUCUGAAUUACUAGUAUUUCUUUGUAUUUGUAUGUAUUUCUAUUUUGAAAUAAAUAAAUGUGAAAAGAAAUAA